GAAAAACAGUACUUUUUACUGGAGUAGGUGGUAAAGAAUCUUAUUUUAUUGAAGCUGUGAGUGUGGGCUGGCAGUGGGGGUGCUGGGUCCGAAGAUGGCUGG